GGCUGUCGUCAGCUCGUGUCGUGAGAUGUUGGGUUAAGUCCCGUAACGAGCGCAACCCUUGUCCUUAGUUACCAGCACGUUAAGGUGGGCACUCUAAGGAGACUGCCGGUGACAAACCGGAGGAAGGUGGGGAUGACGUCAAGUCAUCAUGGCCCUUACGGCCUGGGCUACACACGUGCUACAAUGGUCGGUACAAAGGGUUGCCAAGCCGCGAGGUGGAGCUAAUCCCAUAAAACCGAUCGUAGUCCGGAUCGCAGUCUGCAACUCGACUGCGUGAAGUCGGAAUCGCUAGUAAUCGUGAAUCAGAAUGUCACGGUGAAUACGUUCCCGGGCCUUGUACACACCGCCCGUCACACCAUGGGAGUGGGUUGCUCCAGAAGUAGCUAGUCUAACCUUCGGGGGGACGGUUACCACGGAGUGAUUCAUGACUGGGGUGAAGUCGUAACAAG
rnacentral:rRNA from 2 species